AGGAAGAUAGCUCAGUGGUUAAGAGCACUGUCUGCUCUUCCAGAAGACCUGGGUUCAGUUCCCAGUACCUA
rnacentral:tRNA from 1 species